rnacentral:tRNA from 1 species
GCGAAGGUGGCGGAAUUGGUAGACGCGCUAGCUUCAGGUGUUAGUGUCUUACUGACAUGAGGGUUCAAGUCCCUCUCUUCGCAC